UUCAUUUCUGCUAUGCUCACUCCUUCUCUGCCUGCCCAGCUUACAUGACUCCUCAUGCAGUGCACCUGUCAGACAAGCAGAGAAGAGACACAUACAAUAGAAAGGCAACAGAGCAAUCGUUAGCUUUUAAAUUGGCUGUCUUUACCGCAGUGGAUUUUAAAGUUGUUCCACACUCUCUGGGAUCAAGAGGAGCAGCCUGAUUCACUAUUCCUUUUAAGAGGACAUCUUUAUUCCUUAUUUACCACCAGCAUAUGGACAGUAAACAGGACUAACACGGUCCAAAUUAUGAUCUUUCUUGAAUAUCCAACAAGUUUACUACCAUGGGCCCAACAUAUCUUAUCUUGCACAGGAACAAAAAUGUAUCUGGAGGUAAGUUUUCUUCAUAUAAUGCUCAUGCAGAAAUAGAAAUGCUGACAUAAUUAGGGUAUAAAAUAAAAAGGUAUUUACCUUGAUUAUUAGCUGCAACCAG